UGCGUAGGCGGUUUGAUAAGUCAGAGGUGAAAGCCCGCAGCUUAACUGUGGAAUUGCCUUUGAUACUGUUAGACUUGAAUCAGGUUGAGGUUGGCGGAAUGUGGCAUGUAGCGGUGAAAUGCAUAGAUAUGCCAUAGAACACCAAUUGCGAAGGCAGCUGACUAGACCUGUAUUGACGCUGAGGCACGAAAGCGUGGGGAGCGAACAGGAUUAGAUACCCUGGUAGUC
rnacentral:rRNA from 1 species